rnacentral:rRNA from 1 species
AUGGUUAGAGGAGAAAGCAGCUACAUUCAAGGAGAUGGAAACCAGAGACAACAAUGGAGCAGUAGACCUGUUAAAUUUUCUGAUAACGAGGGGCCAUGGAUGGAGGAGAGUCAAGGGAGAGAACCUGGGAGAGGAGGACAAAUGAAAGAUGGCAUCAAGAUAGCUUUGGGAGGGGCUAACAGAGUGGUAUGCAAUAAAUGGAAAGACACCGGGCAUGCCACAAAAGACUGCAAGCUUGAUCAUUGUGCAGUGUGUGGGAAGAGAAAUCACAUCACUGCUAACUGCACUUGGUUGAAGCAGAUGAAACCAGUUCCUAAAUUUGUAGGAUAUGAUGCAAGAGGUUUGGGGGUGUUGCUGGUGCAAAGCUCCAAGGAUAAUUUAGAUCUUGAAUAUCCAAACACAAUGGCCCUGGUGACUGUUAGAUCUAGUGUGUUAAAUGAAACUCAACUGCUGGAGGGAUUCAAUUAUAUGUUCAACCGGAACUGGGAGGUGCAAGAAGUAAGGAAACAAUGCAUUUUUUAUUAG